AUUAUUAUAGUGUCAGGGAAACAAUAUUAAUUUACCUUUAAAAUUGGUAAACGUACGACAUUAUGUUUCCAAACAUCGUCAUUAGUAAACCGGUACCUAAACUUGGGAUUGUUGGGGGAGUCUAUUAUUCAUCAAACUAAGAAAAACCAACUUAGUAAAGUCCUCUGUCAUAACCGUUAAUCCUUUGUGAGCGAAGAACGUUUUGUAUAGAUCUAUACGGGUUGACACCCCCGUCUGUGCGGUUGCUAGCUACAACCUUCGUAUGACGAGACAAAUCAGACGAUAACUUCUUGUUUUCUUUAUCUAAUUCUUUUAUCACGACGUCAAUGAAACGUCAUUGGGACAACAAGCACCUUUUUGUGCUUCACAGAGGCUUGAACAAGUCAUAGCUCGGUUAUUUACUCCAUGAAACCCUAGGUACCUAAAUACUAAUACAAACUUCUACAAGGUUGUAUUAUUAAUAUUUUUUUUUGGGUAAACAUUUCUUUUUUGCAAAUACUCCAAACUUUAUUUGUUUAUUUUAUAUAAAAUUUACGGAGUCAAAACCUGUGGAACUCACCAACAAAUUUUGUUGACGUAUUUUAAAUGUGUAUUCUCAGGUAACUAAGAAGUUGGAGGUAAACCAUCGGUUUCAAGGAGAUCAUAGUUUUCUUUAUUAUUAUGAAUUUGGUCUAUUUUAAUGUUUCGUAUUUGAAUAAUUACUAUAUUGUAAUAAUGUUUACAAAACCAAGGUUCAUAAUAUAUUAAUUUAUGAAUGCUCAAUAUAUGUGGUUGAGUGGUUCCAAUUGUAAACAUCGCAACCCCGGCGUUUCCGCCGUCGGUCGAGGUGUGACAAUCUCACUCAAUAAAUGGGGAAGCCCUAGAUUUUAUGGUCAUCAAAUUCGCCAAAUCAGAGAACUUAAUCGAAGAUUCAUCUCCUCCUGCUUCACCUUCUUCAUCAUCUCCAUCUUCAUGUUCCUGUUCUUCUUAUCAGUAUCGUGUGCUGAUUCUCCCAAAUCAGACGUUUAUUGCAAUUCGAUGAUAUCGAUUCCGCCAUUGAUCUCUUGCAUCUCCAUGCUCCUUCCGUUCUCGAUGAUCACCGCCUUCUUUUCCGUCUACAGAAGCAGAAAUUGAUUGAGCUUUUGAGGAAAGGAACUGAAGAGGAUCGUAAUUCUGCAAUCAAUUGCUUGGGGAUUGCACUCGCUCCUAGAGCUCUCGACGCCUAUCCUGAAGCAUAUGAAGAAUUCAAGCAUGUUCUGCUUGUAUUUAUAUACAAUAAAGAUGAUCAAACUUCCCCUAUGGUGAUGAAUGAGGUAGGAGUUCUCUACUUUUGUACAAACAACACUGUAUUCCAUCAUAUUCACAUUUAUGUUUUUUUUUCUUAUUUAACACUUGGUAUGGUCAGAUUAUUUUUUGGAUUUUGUUUGUUUGUUUGAUAGAAAUCGUUAGGGUGUUUGGGUUUGUUGGGAAAUCAAUAAAAAUGAAGGGAAUUUUGGUUUGUUGAUUCACUGGAAAUGAAGAAGGAAGAAAUUAGUUUUUUUUUAGCAGCCUCUAGCUGCGUCAACUUCUGUUUCUUAGAAGUAGUGAUUUGGGGGUGGUGUAUGUUUUGUGCUUUGAUCGAUAGAACAAGAAGAAAACACCACACUAGAGUGUGUGGUCGUUCCAGAAGACGAAGAAGAAGGUGGAGGUGGGGUCGUCACAGCCGGCUGCUCCAUCUAAAGUUGUUUUGAUGCACACCAAGCGCUCGCUAAAAUGCUUCAACUGAAUGAUAUUUCUUUGUAUAUAGUAUUCUAUCAGAAAAUGAUGUUUUUUAUGAUAAUCAUGAACAUAUUCUGUUAGAAUGCCCCGAAUUAAUAUAAUUAUUGGUAAAUGAAUUCCAAUUCUAUCAGAAUGGAAUCACGAAUUCCAAUUAUGCUAGAAUGGAAUAUGGAUAUUUUCUCACUAAUUUAUUCAUUGGAUUUGUUUCCACAAAAGUUGAUGGUUGAAGAACGACCACGAAAU